GAAACCAACAGGGAUUGCCUUAGUAACGGCGAGUGAAGCGGCAACAGCUCAAAUUUGAAAUCUGGCCCUUGGGUCCGAAUUGUAAUUUGUAGAGGAUGAUUUUGGUGCGGUAUCUUCCGAGUUCCUUGGAACAGGACGCCUUAGAGGGUGAGAGCCCCGUACGGUUGAAUGCCUAGCCUCUGUAAAUCUCCUUCGACGAGUCGAGUAGUUUGGGAAUGCUGCUCUAAAUGGGAGGUAAAUUUCUUCUAAAGCUAAAUAUUGGCCAGAGACCGAUAGCGCACAAGUAGAGUGAUCGAAAGAUGAAAAGCACUUUGAAAAGAGGGUUAAAUAGCACGUGAAAUUGUUGAAAGGGAAGGAUUUGUGACCAGACUUUUUCUGGGCGGAUCAUCCGGGGUUCUCUCCGGUGCACUUCGCCCAGUAAAGGCCAGCAUCGGUUUUCGGCGUGGGAUAAAAGCAGUAGGAAUGUGGCUCUCUACGGGGAGUGUUAUAGCCUAUUGUAUAAUACCGCGCUGGGGACCGAGGUUCGCGCUUCUGCAAGGAUGCUGGCGUAAUGGUUAUCAAUCACCCGUCUUGAAACACGGACCAAGGAGUCGAACAUUUGUGCGAGUGUUUGGGUGUUAAACCCUCACGCGUAAUGAAAGUGAACGGAGGUGAGAGCCCUUACGGGUGCAUCAUCGACCGAUCCUGAAGUUUUCGGAUGGAUUUGAGUAAGAGCAUAACUGUUCGGACCCGAAAGAUGGUGAACUAUGCGUGGAUAGGGUGAAGCCAGAGGAAACUCUGGUGGAGGCUCGCAGCGGUUCUGACGUGCAAAUCGAUCGUCAAAUCUGCGCAUGGGGGCGAAAGACUAAUCGAACCAUCUAGUAGCU
rnacentral:rRNA from 1 species